AAGUGACACUCGGUUGGCAUGUAC
rnacentral:siRNA from 1 species